GCAGGUGAGUCACUGUUGCUUACCAGGAUGGAAUGGGGGAGAGGAGAGGUGGCAAGGAGAUUGGCAUGGUGCAAAUGCAUUGGCAGGGGCCGUGAAUUGGCUCUGCCGGUGCAUUUGUGCUGCACUGACUUUACUGCUUCUUCACCCCUUCUCCUUCCAGGAAGCAACAGUGACCCACUUA